rnacentral:rRNA from 1 species
GGGGUCCUACGGGGGGCAGCAGUGAGGAAUAUUGGUCAAUGGGCGAGAGCCUGAACCAGCCAAGUCGCGUGAGCGAAGAAGUAUUUCGGUAUGUAAAGCUCUAUCAGCAGGGAAGAAAAUGACGGUACCUGACUAAGAGGCCCCGGCUAAAUACGUGCCAGCAGCCGCGGUAAUACGUAUGGGGCAAGCGUUAUCCGGAUUUACUGGGUGUAAAGGGAGCGCAGGCGGCUUGGCAAGUCUGAUGUGAAAGGCUGGGGCUCAACCCCAG